rnacentral:lncRNA from 1 species
GGGAGACGCAUUCCGUGUACUAAUAAGGCGUCUGGAAAAAUGGAAUUACAGUGUGCAGGAAUCCCAUGACCCUCUGCAGCUCCAGCCAUGGCAUGGUUGCUGUUAAAAAUGUUACAGCAAGGCCCCCAGGUCCUGCUUCUGCCUUGUCCAUUGUAACUGAGAUCAAAGCCUUCAAGCAGAUAACUGGAGCUCACCCUGCCUGCUGGAUACCUGCUUGCUGUUUCCCAAUACCUCAUAGUUAGACGACGCAUCUUACUAAAGUGAAACAUUCUGUAUCCCUUCAUGAGAACACUCUAGAAAAAUCUAACAAGAGAAGUUUUCCUCUUACUUUUAAAAAACAAGCCUGUCAUUUCUUAAUUUUCUCCCUGGUCCAUUUUCCACCGAUUGUCUUGCUCGGAGUAGCUCUAAGCACUCAAAUAAAGCUCACCAGUAGGGGUAGAUUUGUGAAAUUUCUACAAGCUUCCUCACAGCUUUAUCCUGCUCCUGUCAGCCAUUUCUGCAAGAAAAUGGAUGUUUAAUCAGUGCAAGAGUGCAGUUUAUUAGUCUGGCUCCUCAGCCAUCACCUCCAUUCAGGCUCGAGGAAGACUACAGAAAGAAACCCACAGUGCUGCCAGUGACUGCCCAGGAUGCAGGAAUUUCAACACGAAGCAGCACCUUUAUGAACCAAGCACAGUAUUUAUCUCAAUAUAGCUUUGACUGUAUGGUAAUAAGUAAAUUAUUUCUAAACAUUUGUGACUGAAGAUUGGUACAUGGAAAUGUUUGUGAAAUUAUCUUUUUGAGAGAAUAUCUUAAAAAUUAUUUAGUUCACAAAAUGGAAGAUUGAGGGCAAGUUUAAUAGAAAUGUGAGAACAGCAGUAUCAGCAUCUUUCCUGUUACUCUUCUGAGUCGGAAGGGAGAGAAUGAGCUAAAAUUGUUGCAGAAGGAAUUUGGUGUUGACUUUGGGAAGAAUUUUCUGCUAAUACGUUGAAGUGCUGGAUAACCUUACAGAAGGAGCUUCUGGGUUUCAUUCUACCAACAUCUACUGAACACCUUCUGGAGAUUUUCUGGUUUGUGUCUAAUUCUGUCCUACAGCUAAAUUGGGAAGAUUUCACCCAAAUGCUUUUCCAGAGUCUGGUUUUCCUAAAUUGAAGUGUUGCUAUCUCUUUUUUCAAACUUAACUUUUCUUUUUAUUCUCAGCCACCUAUGAAAUUUCCCUGGGCCAAGGCCUGGAGCCUGCCAUAUGCACACAAAAAAAAGUUUUAAAAAUGAAG